rnacentral:rRNA from 1 species
UACGUAGGGUGCGAGCGUUUGUCCGGAAUUAUUGGGCGUAAAGGGCUCGUAGGCGGUUUGUCGCGUCGGGAGUGAAAUCCACUGGCUUAACUGGUGGCUUGCUUUCGAUACGGGCAGACUGGAGGUAUGCAGGGGAGAACGGAAUUCCUGGUGUAGCGGUGAAAUGCGCAGAUAUCAGGAGGAACACCGGUGGCGAAGGCGGUUCUCUGGGCCUGUACUGACGCUGAGGAGCGAAAGCGUGGGGAGCGAACAGG